rnacentral:rRNA from 1 species
UACGUAGGCAGCGAGCGUUGUUCGGAGUUACUGGGCGUAAAGGGUGUGUAGGCGGUUGUUUAAGUUUGGUGUGAAAACUUGCAGCUUAACUGUGGGCGUGCGGUCGAUACGGGCAUCACUGGAGUUCGGCAGGGGAGACUGGAAUUCCUGGUGUAGCGGUGAAAUGCGCAGAUAUCAGGAGGAACACCGGUGGCGAAGGCGGGUCUCUGGGCCGAUACUGACGCUGAGGAGCGAAAGCGUGGGGAGCGAACAGG